UUUUAGGUAAACCCCACAAUUAUGAUCCAUAUUUAUGCGGAUGUUGAUAAGUUUUUAUCGAAGAUGGACUUCAUCGAAAUGAUAUGCGCACAUUUGAAAUGGCCGUGGUCAUUAACUCAUUUUAUAUUUUGUUCUCGUUGUUAUGGAUGUGGUUUCCAGAUAGCCCGUGGAAAUAGACCGUUACAUUUUGUUUUAACAGACAAAAAUGUAAAUAAUUUAUUACGUUAUGGUUUAUUUUGGUCACCAACCCGCCUGCCCAGCGUGGUGACUAUGGGCAAAACACAUGAGU
rnacentral:misc_RNA from 1 species